GACGAACGCUGGCGGCGUGCUUAACACAUGCAAGUCGAACGAUGAAGCUGGAGCUUGCUCCGGUGGAUUAGUGGCGAACGGGUGAGUAACACGUGAGUAAUCUGCCCUUGACUCUGGGAUAACUGCGGGAAACUGUAGCUAAUACCGGAUACGACACCUUCGGGCAUCCGAUGGGUGUGGAAAGAAUUUCGGUCAAGGAUGAACUCGCGGCCUAUCAGCUAGGUGGUGUGGUAAUGGCUCACCAAGGCGACGACGGGUAGCCGGCCUGGAGAGGGGGCCGGCCACACUGGGAGGGAGACAGGGCGCAGACUGCUACGGGAGGCAGGAGUGGGGAAUCAUGCACAAUGGGCGCAAGCCGGAGACAGCAACGGCGUGUGAGGGAUGAAGGCCUUCGGGUUGUAAACAUCUUUUAGUUGGGAAGAAGCGAAAGUGGCGGUACCAACAGAAGAAGCACCGGCUAACGACGUGCCAGCCGCCGCCGUAA
rnacentral:rRNA from 1 species